rnacentral:rRNA from 1 species
GGAAUAUUGGUCAAUGGACGGAAGUCUGAACCAGCCAUGCCGCGUGCAGGAAGACGGCCUUCUGGGUUGUAAACUGCUUUUAUCAGGGCAGACAAAGGUCUUGCGAGACCAAUUGCCGGUACCUGAAGAAUAAGCACCGGCUAACUCCGUGCCAGCAGCCGCGGUAAUACGGAGGGUGCGAGCGUUGUCCGGAUUUAUUGGGUUUAAAGGGUGCGUAGGCGGCUUAUUAAGUCAGUGGUGGAAGGUAUCAGCUUAACUGAUGACGUGCCAUUGAAACUGAUAGGCUUGAGUACAGACGAGGUAGGCGGAAUUUAUGGUGUAGCGGUGAAAUGCAUAGAUACCAUAAAGAACACCAAUAGCGAAGGCAGCUUACUAGACUGAGACUGACGCUGAGGCACGAAAGCGUGGGGAGCGAAC